GUGACUUCACACUGCAGCACGGGAGGACACUCCUCAAACCCGGGGUCUGUGACUGCGUGCCUUCAACUUCAAGCCUCUUUGAGCUGCUGGUGGUGGAAGAAGCAGUCUCCAAACAUGCCAGCCUGCAAUAUCUGUGCUGGGUGAGCUGUGACCUCGAUCCUUGCAGAGCUUUUUCUGGUGUGCAGCUGCUGUGAGCUCUGCUGUAACUUGGAGAGCUUUGCAGCCCAGGGCUGGGGAGCUGGGCUGAUGCUGUCCUUGGCCCCAAAGCCUUCCUAGAUGGAUCCUGUGAUUCACUUUCAGU
rnacentral:lncRNA from 1 species